AACGCAUCUUGCGCUCCUCGGCACUCCGAGGAGCAUGCCUGUUUGAGUGUCGUGAAGUCUCUCGGAUGGCGCCUCUUUGCGGAGGCGUCCCUCGGAUUUGGACGCGUGCCCGCGAGGGCUCGUCUUGAAACGCAUCGCGCCCGCCCGCCCCCCAUUCCAGACGUGAUAAGUUUGCGUUGUCGGAUGGCGGGGAUGCGCCCGCGUUAUCCGUCCCCUCCUCGGGGAUGGAAAAAAACCACACGAAUCUUGACCUCAAAUCAGGCAGGACUACCCGCUGAACUUAA
rnacentral:misc_RNA from 1 species